rnacentral:rRNA from 1 species
GAUGAACGCUGGCGGCGUGCCUAAUACAUGCAAGUCGAGCGAACGGACGAGAAGCUUGCUUCUCUGAUGUUAGCGGCGGACGGGUGAGUAACACGUGGAUAACCUACCUAUAAGACUGGGAUAACUUCGGGAAACCGGAGCUAAUACCGGAUGAUAUUUUGAACCGCAUGGUUCAAAAGUGAAAGACGGUCUUGCUGUCACUUAUAGAUGGAUCCGCGCUGCAUUAGCUAGUUGGUAAGGUAACGGCUUACCAAGGCAACGAUGCAUAGCCGACCUGAGAGGGUGGUCGGCCACACUGGAACUUAGACACGGUCCCGACUCCUACGGGAGGCAGCAGUAGGGAAUCUUCCGCAAUGGGCGAAAGCCUGACGGAGCAACGCCGCGUGAGUGAUGAAGGUCUUCGGAUCGUAAAACUCUGUUAUUAGGGAAGAACAUAUGUGUAAGUAACUGUGCACAUCUUGACGGUACCUAAUCAGAAAGCCACGGCUAACUACGUG